rnacentral:rRNA from 1 species
UACGAAGGUCCCAAGCGUUAUCCGGAUUUAUUGGGUUUAAAGGGUGCGUAGGCGGGUUAUUAAGUCAGUGGUGAAAGCCUUCAGCUUAACUGAAGAAUUGCCAUUGAUACUGAUGAUCUUGAGUAUGAUUGAGGUUGGCGGAAUGUGUCAUGUAGCGGUGAAAUGCUUAGAUAUGACACAGAACACCGAUUGCGAAGGCAGCUAACUAGGCUGUAACUGACGCUGAGGCACGAAAGCGUGGGGAGCGAACAGG